rnacentral:rRNA from 1 species
GAUGAACGCUGGCGGCGUGCCUAAUACAUGCAAGUCGAGCGAACGGACGAGAAGCUUGCUUCUCUGAUGUUAGCGGCGGACGGGUGAGUAACACGUGGAUAACCUACCUAUAAGACUGGGAUAACUUCGGGAAACCGGAGCUAAUACCGGAUAAUAUUUUGAACCGCAUGGUUCAAAAGUGAAAGACGGUCUUGCUGUCACUUAUAGAUGGAUCCGCGCUGCAUUAGCUAGUUGGUAAGGUAACGGCUUACCAAGGCAACGAUGCAUAGCCGACCUGAGAGGGUGGUGGGCCACACUGGAACUGAGAAACGGUCCAGACUCCGAGGGGAGGCAGCAGUAGGGAAUCUUCCGCGAAGGGCGAAAGCCUGACGGAGCAACGCCGCGUGAGUGAUGAAGGUCUUCGGAUCGUAAAACUCUGUUAUUAGGGAAGAACAUAUGUGUAAGUAACUGUGAACAUCUUGACGGUACCUAAUCAGAAAGCCACGGCUAACUACGUG